GAUGCAGGAGCAAGCACUUCCUCUCUGGUCUUGAAAUCCACAGAAACGACAAAAAGAAAUCUUCGAAGCCGAAUUAAAAAGGUUGAUGAAGCGCCAAUGACGGGUUCUCCAGUCUUGAAAUCCACAAACCUGAAAAAGCGCAAGAAGACAAUUCAAAUACUUAACCCACAAUCAACGGUUUUGAACUUCAAAAGAAUUGCGGAAC